GCUUUUAGCAAUCCCUUCCCUUAAGCAAACCUGAUGCUGAACUCACCCCACUUCUCCCCUAUUUCACAACAAGCACUUGGCCAAUCUGUCACAAGAAAGUAUUAAGACAAACUAACACAGCUCCCAUGUGGAAAGCAAAGGAAACUGACUUUGGAGUGUUUUGCUAUAACCUGCUAACCUACUGACUUGUUCUUCCGGACUGUGUAUCCCACCAGGCAAGGAACUUGAGGGAAGGCAGGGAAGGCAGUAGGUGCUUUAGGAAAGAGCAGAAGGCAGCCCCUUCCUCGGGCCAAGGGACGCACUCUGCACCCAGGGCAAGGAGGGGGGGCGAGUCCCCACCGGGCGACGAAGGCCUAGGCAGGGGAGGCCGGGCGGGCCGCGGGCGGCCGGGAGGUAGAGAGGGGGGCGGAGCUGCGGGCCGGCGGGGCGCGGCUGGCGGAGGCGGCGCCGGGCGGGACGGCGAGGGCGAACGGAUUGCGCGCUCCUGCUGCCGGCCAGCGAGCGGCCCGCGGCGCGGGGUCCCCGGAGUUCGCCUGGAGCGCGGGGAAGUUUCCCCCGGAGUCCGCGCCUGCCACAGCAGCACCUGCCGGCGCCGAGGCAGCAGCCGCUGCCCGUAAGGUUACUUUAUUUAAUGGGUCUGCAGAGGACAAGAAAGGAAUGAAGCUUUAAGAAAAAGCAAAUCAUGUGGUCUUCAUAUUCAGUAAUGAAGAGAAAUGCAGCCAUCUGAAAUGGUCAUGAACCCCAAGCAAGUCUUCCUGUCUCUGCUGAUAUUUGGAGUAGCAGGGCUCCUCCUCUUCAUGUAUUUGCAAGUCUGGAUUGAAGAACAGCAUACAGAUUCCACAAUGAGAGAUUCACAACGAGAUUCACAACGAGACUUCACUUGUCAAGGAAUAUAUAUGGGAGAAAUAUGGUUUAGUCUAUCAGUAAUAAACUGCAUCGUAUCUCAGAAAACAAGUCAUAUAAUGAUGCCCUACAAAUAAAAUUCAGUUCAUAAAAAGUGUCCUCAAUCACCAAUAGCUACCAUUUACUGGUGUCUUAAUACUGCUGCCAAAUGUUCACAUAGAUUUUCUCUGACCCCCAUGAUAUCUUUCCAGGUAGGUGAUAUUCUAAUCUACAGCUGAAGAAACUGUGGUUCUGAGGGGUAAAGAACUUAACCAAAGCCUCAUAUGUGUAGGCUUUGGUGCUGAGGGAAGAGCCUGGAUUUGAGCUCAGGCUGUGCUGCUAUGAGGUCCGUGCAGCUCCUCUAUGUCUCAACUCCCAGAGAGGAAAAGGUGAGGAUUAUUAUCCCUCUGUAGUAUAGAUGAAGCAUUGAGUGACUUGCCUAUAGGUACAAAUCUAAGAAUUUUCAAAGUAUGAUCUGUACCUAGGUCUUCCUUCUCAUGAACCCUAGACGAGUCUCCUGACUAAAGCAGUGGAUAAGAUAGACAUAUAAAUGCAUUGUCACUGCAGAUAUUUUAAAUCCCUGAAAUUGGUAAAUGAAGCAGCACAGAAAUGCAUAGAAAUGUAACUUUUGCUGCAAGUUGGACUUUUAAUUUGGGUUCAUCAUUUUUCCAAGCAUUGAAAAUUAUUUUCCUUGGUUAAGAUUGGCUGGUAAAACAUUUAUCAUUUUUUUCUCUUCAAUUUUAUUUGCAAUUUGCUAAAAGUGCUUUCUUGUAUAUUCAGUAUAUUUUAAAUGAUUUGCAUAAUAUAGCAAACUACUCAUGGCAACAAUCACAAGUUUUAAACUUAGGAAUAUUUUUAGGAAAGUAUUUCACUGAAUUAAAGCUAUAUUAUUCUUUCUGAAUACUUCCAUGUGGAGUUGUGUCAUAUUAGACUAGAGCCCAGUGUUACAGUCUGUACUUUCCUACAUAAUCAGAUAUAUUGGAAUUUUAAAUAACACUGGUGGUAUUGGAAAUUUUUAAACAAGUUUUGUUUUAAAAUCAUAAAAUCUUACUAUGUAUAUCAAUGAUAAGCAGGAAAUUGAGGGAAAAAUCUAACUUUUAGAUUAAGUUAGAACUGUCUCACAAGAACCUUGUAAGAUGAGCUCAUUUUGGUUCCCUAAGUAGGACAGGUUUUUAUGAUUGGGGUAGUUUUUAAUGUCAUAUACAUUUCAGUUAUAGAUGAGAAUUUAUUAUGAUCAUGGGAUGGAGCAUUCCACAAUCCUGCCCUUUUUUGGAUCCAUAAUCAAUUAUAUGAUCCAUUUCUUUGUGCUCGUGACUUGAUAUAUUGCUACAGAUUUAUUUCAUACUAUUUUUUUGUAGUUAUUAAGGGUACACAUUUUCCAUUCCAAAGGAUCCUGAAGAGCUCACAUGUCCUACCACUUAGUUCUGUGACUGAGCGAAUUUCUUAAUAUUUGUAAGCCUCAGAUUCCUCAUCCGUAAAACAGGAAUGAUGAUAAUACUCACCACAUAGAGUUACAAUGCAGAUUAAGGGAGCCCAGGGCAUGCAGAUUGCUCAGCGUGGUGUCUGGCAAGCAGUACUGUACAGUGCAUGUAACUUCUUAUCCUAGAAAUAAUGCAGAGCAUCUGCAGCCUUCCAUGCUCUGAGCUGUCACAACUAACACUCGGCCAGUUUAGGGAGACUGAAUGGUGCUCAAGUUUAUGCCAUGACUGAUUAAAGAGAAAGAGAAAAGACUGUGUUCCAGGCCUGAUAAAAUAGUUGGGAGAAUCUAAGUGGUGCGGGGCCAUCCUGGUUCCCAGGGUGGACAGUGGAAGGAGAGUGAUAGGCUUGAGUGCAGAGAGGGGGCAGUUGUUUAGCAGCAUUUGAUGUCUCUGUAGGAUGUGUCCAAGGUCAGGUGUUCAGCCUUUCAACAGUAUGUCUCCAGGACUUAACAAUCGCUGUGGUGAAUGUACAGAUAUAACAGUGAGCCAGAUUUAGUCUCAUGGACAGUAAGGGAGAAAAUGAUCCUGAGUCCAGGCCAAGGUGUUGGUACAAAAGGACAAUAGUCUAUGAUGACACAAAGAAGAUGGGACUUCCAUUAUGGGGCAAAAUAAAGAGCUAGGAUCAAGAGAAAGUCAAAGACCUUGGGCAGUGGCCAGUGAUAGAAUUGCUAAGAGUGGAGUAGGGUUGUUGGGGGGAGCGGGCACUGAGGACCAGACCAGGAGUCCAGUUUGGGAUACAUCAUAAGAUUGAUCCUGUGACUAAAGGGCUAGUUCUAAAUUCUAGGUGUAGUUGCUCAAAUUCUAAAUAGCCUCCCUCGAACAGCUGCUGCUUGAGUUUGCCAUUUGGUGCUCCUUCUCUGGGUGGAAUCUUCCUGCCAAACAGAACAAAUACCAAAAUACGUGGUGUGGGACUGCUUUGCUUGUGCAGUAAGACAGAGCUAAGACCCUGUUGUGAUGCAGUCAGAACCUCAGAUUUAGAAAGGGAUGUAAACGUCCUCUGUAAUGCACUUGCUGUGGCCUGACUGCCCCCUCCAAAACUCACGGCAAAACUUAAUUGCCAUUGUGAGGUAUGAAGAGGGUAGAAACGUAAGUCUCUGGAACUUGGAGGUGAGACUUUUGGAGGGAAGUAACUAAGGAUAAGUAAGGCCACAAGGGUGGGACCCUAAUCCAAGGGUCUGUGCCUUUGUAAGAAGAGGAAGAGAUACUUCACUUAGGACACUCAAGCUCUCUAGCCAUGUGGUGCUCCGGCUGCCUCAGAACUGUGCAGAGAGCCCCAUCAGCCAGAAGGACUUCACCAGAUGCAGCACCUGAUCACGAAUUUCCCAUUCUUUAGAACCAUGAACUAGGCAAACCUUUAUGCUUUAUAAAUACUUAGUCUGUGAUACUCGGUUACAGCAACAGAAAACCUACUCAGUCAUCACUUGUUUCUUUUUCUAAAUAUAAGUCCAGUUACAACAUUCCCUGUUUAAAAUUUUUCAAUGAUACUGUUUUCAUUUUAACCAAACUUCUCCUUGGGGCCCACAGAACAGCAUCGGCUAUAGUCACAUCCUCCCCAUCUUUUCCUCCACCUUUGCUGACUCAGUGUUCACAGUUUCAGAAGCUGGAAUACUCAACUCUCACCUCCAACUCUCACCUGUUAGGGCUUAGAUCUAAUGUCACUUCCUUUGACUCUCUGCAAGUCAGUGCUCUCUCUUUGUCUCUGUCUGUGUGUGUGUGUGUGUGUGUGUGUGUGUGUGUGUGUCUCUCUCUCUGUCUCUACCUGUGUCUGUGUGUCUCUCUCUCAGAAAUGACCACAAUCAGCAGUUGCUUGUUAAUUACAGUAUUUGUUGACUCAUUUAUUGUCCAUAUCCCUCUCUCUUUUAUGAGUUCUCUGAGGACAGAGACCUACUCUGAAUGACUUAGCCCAGCAUCCUCUUUCUAUAGCAUGGAACUUAAUAUGUGGUAGGUGCUCAAUAGUUACUGCUUUAUGGAUGGAUAAAUAAUGUUUACAUUGGAUUUCCAACCUUCUAGCCCAAUGUUUACAUAGACUGUGUUUGAAUAUUGCUAGGAACAAAAAGCAACACUCCCAAGGCAACUACUCCACUCUACCACAACCUCCUUAGCUAGCACCAAGUAUUAAUUAAAUUAAUUAGUAGAGUUUGCAUCCUUAACCUCUGCUUACUCAUCCUCUGAUAGUCCAUGAAGUUCGUUUUUCUUUCAUCAUACAGCCUGAUCAUUUUUACAGAGAAUGAAAACCCAGAUUUUUUUUUUGGUACGGGGGAUCGAACUCAGGACCUUGUGCUUGAGAGGCAGGCGCUGGAACCACCGAGCUAAAUCCCCAGCCCCAAAACCCAGAUUUUUUAACAGUUUCAUGAAAGAAAGACAAGCCAAGUCAGUCUCAUCCAAGCCAUAGCAUUCACUCUGUACUCCUUUCACAUGAUUCAUACUAUGCUUUACAUCAUUUGUGGGAGAAAUAUGCAUAUCUAAUAAAAUUUCCUAUCAAGUAGUGAAGAAUUAUGGAUCCCAGCGAAAAGUUUACGUUAUUGCUUUUUCUGAGAUUUUUUUAGAAUCAAGUUUAGCCUCAGCCAUUUCAAACUAAAAUAGUUGUCUAGAGGUUAUCCCUAUAUUAUAAAAACCUUUCUAAACAAUCUCUCUGCAUUUUUUAUUCAUGACAAAUAAUGUUUGGCUA
rnacentral:lncRNA from 1 species